GACGAACGCUGGCGGCGUGCUUAACACAUGCAAGUCGAACGGAAAGGCCCUGCUUUUGUGGGGUGCUCGAGUGGCGAACGGGUGAGUAACACGUGAGUAACCUGCCCUUGACUUUGGGAUAACUUCAGGAAACUGGGGCUAAUACCGGAUAGGAGCUCCUGCUGCAUGGUGGGGGUUGGAAAGUUUCGGCGGUUGGGGAUGGACUCGCGGCUUAUCAGCUUGUUGGUGGGGUAGUGGCUUACCAAGGCUUUGACGGGUAGCCGGCCUGAGAGGGUGACCGGCCACAUUGGGACUAGAUACGGCCCAGACUCCUACGGGAGGCAGCAGUGGGGAAUAUUGCACAAUGGGCGGAAGCCUGAUGCAGCAACGCCGCGUGCGGGAUGACGGCCUUCGGGUUGUAAACCGCUUUCGCCUGUGACGAAGCGUGAGUGACGGUAAUGGGUAAAGAAGCACCGGCUAACUACGUG
rnacentral:rRNA from 1 species